GGCGAGCACGGCCCGCGGGCGGUGUUCGCUGGAGCUGGUGGACCGGGCGGCUGACCGAGGGGCGGGUGCGCGGCGGGGCAGACCGCUGGGGACUGCGGGCGGCGCUGUGUCCGUCGCCAUGACAGAUCAGACCUAUUGUGACCGCCUGGUGCAGGACAUGCCUUUCCUGACAGGCCACGGGCGCUUGAGUGAGCAGCAGGUGGACAGGAUCAUCCUCCAGCUGAACCGUUACUACCCACAGAUCCUUACCAACAAGGAGGCGGAAAAGGUGCUGAGGAGUUCCGGAACCCCAAGGCAUCCUUGCGUGUGCGGCUCUGUGACCUCCUGAGCCACCUGCAGCGGAGCGGUGAGCGGGACUGCCAGGAGUUCUACCGAGCCCUGUAUAUCCAUGCCCAGCCCCUGCACAGCCGCCUGCCCAGCCGCCACGCUCUGCGUAAGUUCCACGUCCCCAACCAUGCAUGCUUGGUGCUGGCCCAGGGAGGGCACCCCAGCCUGCUGUUGAUGGCAUGGAUGUCCUCCAUGACCACCCAAGUCUGCUGCAGCCCAGGCCUGGCAUCCCCUCUCACCUCAGCCCCUCCCCAGAGGCCACCCACUGGCCCCGAGGGGAGAAUGUGGCAGGCACAGGCAGUGCAGAUGUUGGUCUCUGUCUCCCACUUUCUCCUCCUUCCUCCAUCUCUCUCUCUCAUGGCAGUUUUCACACAGCAUGGGGCAUCUUGUACGUCCACUCUUGCCCUUCCUUUUCUAACCUCAUUCCACGGGGAUCCCUUCAUGUCUGUGUGGACAGCAGCCUUGUUCCCACAGCUGCAUGGCGCUUCUAGGUGGUCCCAGCUGGAAUUACCCAACCCCAUGACGGACCCUUUCAUUGCAGCGAUCUGCACACGUGUGGGUGUUUCCAUAGGGCAUUGUCAGGCACGGAUGGCUGGUCCGA
rnacentral:sRNA from 1 species